GGGGCCUGGCGGCGGGAGGGGUGGGCUCUGGCUCGCCGGGCCUCGGCUCCGCGGCCGCUAAAAGGCGCGCUGGCCACCGCCCCGCCGGUCCCUGGACGCUCUCCCGGCCAAGCGCUCUGAGCCCAGUGCCCAGCCAUGGCGUGCCCCGUGGUUCAGGCCAUUGGUCUUCCACAAGUACUCGGGCAGGGAAGGUGACAACACUCUGAGCAAGAAGGAGCUGAAGGAGCUGAUCCAGAAAGAGCUCACCAUUGGUGCGAAGCUGCAGGAUGCUGACAUUGCAAAGCUGAUGGACGACCUGGACCGGAACAAGGACCGGAACAAGGACCAGGUGGUGAACUUCCAGGAAUAUGUCACCUUCCUGGGAGCCUUGGCUUUGAUCUACAAUGAUGCCCUCAAGGGCUGAAAAUAAAUCAGGAAGGUGGAGACACCCUCCAUCGGGCCUGCCUGAGUCAGCUCCAGUGGUGGGUAACUGUUCAAUAAAUAUCUUUUUUUGGUCAA